CCUGCUGCAACAGGAGCUUCCCCGUGCGCGCGAAGCGGUCAGACCGUUGGGUGAUAUCUGCAUGGCUUUUCAAUGAUAGUGACAACUGAGGAACACCAAGGGGCUGACACGGCGUGGUGGCUGUAUUUCUGCUGGACAGGUCACCUGCAGAUUUGGAGUCUUCCAACACCCUGUGCUUAUCACCAGUAUACACUGAUCGGACCAUGCUGGCUGGCCAGGAUUACAGCCACCAUGUCCACAGGCCAGCCAGGAGAAAAGCUGAUGACACAGUUAAGUACAGCAAGGUGUACAACAAAAAGUCCAGGAAGUGGAUUGAAGGUGGAGAAGGACUAC